rnacentral:pre_miRNA from 1 species
UCCUCAUUUCGCGUGCUCUCUCGCCUCUCUGACCGGUGAGAGAGCGUGUGAAAUGAAGAGA